rnacentral:rRNA from 1 species
UACGUAGGGUGCGAGCGUUAAUCGGAAUUACUGGGCGUAAAGCGUGCGCAGGCGGUGCUGUAAGACCGAUGUGAAAUCCCCGGGCUUAACCUGGGAACUGCAUUGGUGACUGCAGCGCUGGAGUAUGGCAGAGGGGGGUGGAAUUCCAGCGUGUAGCAGUGAAAUGCGUAGAGAACUGUGGAGGAACACCGAUGGCGAAGGCAGCCCCUGGGCCAAUACUGACGCUCAUGCACGAAAGCGUGGGGAGCAAACAGG